UACGUAGGGCGCGAGCGUUGUCCGGAUUUAUUGGGCGUAAAGGGCGCGUAGGCGGCUAGAUGUGUCAAAGGUGAAAUCCCUCGGCUCAACUGAGGAACUGCCUUUAAAACUGUCUGGCUUGAGGCCGGGAGAGGGUAGCGGAAUUCCCAGUGUAGCGGUGAAAUGCGUAGAUAUUGGGAGGAACACCAGUGGCGAAGGCGGCUACCUGGACCGGUUCUGACGCUGAGGCGCGAAAGCGUGGGUAGCAAACAGG
rnacentral:rRNA from 1 species